UUGUGAGCUAAAAAAAAAUAAAGAACAAUGUUUUAAAAAACAAGGGGAGAGAAAGGAUACAAGCUAACUAUUUUUAAACCUAUUCUAAACAAUAGCUAACCAUUCCCUUUUUUUUUGACCGAGCAUGCAUGCAGAAGUUCCGGGCCAGGGACCAAAUCUGCCCCACAGGAGUGACCCAAGCCAUAGCAAUGACAGCUCUGGAUCCUUCACCCGCUGCACCGCAAGGGAACUCCAGUAGCUAGUUCUUCUUAAACUAUUCUAAAACCCCAUUCUUUCAGAUUUCCCUCUGAGAAAUACGGCAGGAUGUAAUUGAGUGCACUGAUAACAUCACUUUCGUCACUAAAGUCCAACUGCUCAUUCAUGAAGCUCGACAAGCUGACACCACUCUUGUCUGAGGACGGCCUCUCUGGUUCAAUCAUCAGCUCGGUGCUGGUGUUCUUCUUCCGGGCUUGUAACACCUUCAUGAACGAUCCUUCUACAUCCCCUAGAGAUGUCUCUUUAUCUGUCAAAAGAGAAGAGACUGGUUUUGAUCCUUGAAGGCUGAUGGCACGGCUCUUGUCCACAGCCCUGUAUCCCAGUCAGACACCUUAGGCAUCAGCAAACCUCUGAGUGCCACUUAGAGAGCAGACAAAGAAACCCAAACUUAGACCUAUGAUUGGCAACAACCAAAGGUGCAAAAGGUAGCCUCCGAAAAAGCGGCUCUUUAUUCAGAGAAUUCCAUAACGUGAAAUACAGCAACUAUAUAUUUAGGAUUAUUCCCCUGGUCCCAGGACCCCAGAAAAGCCGAGGCUGGAAGACAAACACUCCCCGACUCAGCCGGGCCCUGCGGGUCUACUGCGACUCCUCCCUCAGGCUCACACACCCCAUCCUGUCCUGCCUCAGAAGCAGAGGGGCUGCCUCCCCCCACCUCUUCAGUGUGCUUGUGUUCUGGCUGCUAUCACAGAUGACCACGACCACACCUGCAGCUCCCAGGUCCUCGCCUGGACUUGUCUUUCUCCAUCUGCCCACCGAGUCCUUUGCUCGGCCCCUGCUUCCAUAUAUCCCAGCCCUCACGACAGAAGGUUCUACCCAGAAAAAAACACUAUGUCCACCCUGGUUCUUUGCUAAAAUUUGGGCAGGGAUCUGGGGUGCAGGUUAAGAGAUUUUCCAGGCUGUAUGCCAAUGUGGAAGGUUAAUAUGUGAGGCCCUAGAAGGCAAAAGGGAAAAAGCAACUUCUGUCAGAAGCCUACUCUGCUUUCAUUUCACUUUGAAUAUUUCCAGCUCUGCUUGUGGAACCAUCCAAAGCUUCUGACUAGGUGAAGGUAAUGUGUACCACUGUGUAGCUGGGCUUCUCCUCCAGAAGGAUUAAAAGCAUUUGGGGUGGGGGUGGUGAGGGUCAGGGGAGGAGGUAAAGAGUCACAAGAAAGGAGCAGCACAGAUCGGGAGAGAGCCCAAAACCGGGGACAGGAGGUCUGAGCACUAGGCCACGACACUUAACGCCUCUGAUCUUGCUUUUCCUCACCUGUAAAAGGAGAUUAAAAAUGCCUUUUCUGCCCACUUCUGGUGGAGAAGGGAGUAAUACCAUUGGUCAAAAAUUUUUUUUUGAAAAAUAAGCAACCUCGACUUUAUAUAAAUAGCAAAGUGUUACCUAUAAUGUGUUCUAGAUCAUUGAUAGAGACGCGUAUUCAAGCCAUCUGGGCAGGAAAGCAGGUUUUGGAAGUUCUUAAGUUAGUGUCCAUAAAUCUAUUAUAUAGAAAAAUAGUUGAAAGCACCUAAGUGUUUUGUGGCUAGAGAAGCUUGAGAUUUAGAGCAAGUUCAGAGCUGGACAGUCUAAGAAUAAAAUAGCUCUCCUACCCAUUAGAAGGGCUAGAUCACAGCUUCUGGUUAUGGAACCAAAAAUUCUCAGAUUCCAAAUAAAACAUAAAACAGCAUCACUUGUACUCUUUUAUACAAUUGCAA